ensembl:lncRNA
AAACUUUUUUUUUUCCUAAUAGAAGUGACGCUUCACUCGUCCGUGAUGGGCAUGAAGACGGGCAAGAUCAUUCUUAUACCAGCAAUAACCCUCAGCAGGAAGUAGUACGUGGCACAAUUUUGGUGAAAAAUGUAAUUGCAGUGCUGCAUUUACUGAAACCGGCAGGAAGUGGUUUACUAAUAGGAAACGUUUCAAGGCAUUCACGUUUUCCUGUCACAUGGCCAGCGGGGGGUGCUGUGCAUGCUGCGCCUCAACGUGUUUGACAGCUGUGGAUGGAUUCAAACUGGACUUUCAUGUUAACUUGUUAGUUGGAUGUUUUAGAGAGGGAGAGAGAGAGAGAGGUGUCCUAUCUCCUGAUGCUGUGGUCUCCACCUUCUAUAUACUCCUGACAGGAAGCGGAACCUGUCACGGCAGUAGGCUACUGGAUGUACGUGGUGGGGUUUGCUCUCUUGCACGUGAAGCCGCUAUGAUAGACUUGAUAUUGGUGUUGACUUUGGCGCUCCCAGUGGACGAAAGCACACGUGUUCCGUUUAGAAAAGCCCUCAUUUCACUGCUGCCUGGUCCGACAGGCGCGGCCCGGGCCUCCAGCAGCGCGGUGUCGGGACCGGAGGAGCAGGUUGAGGCCCUGCUCGCUUCCUCUGAGGCCUCCAGGUGGUCUGAGUCGGUCUGCUGAAGGCCGCCUGUGGAGCUGGAGCAGUUUCCUGAAUCCAACCAGGUUGCACAGAUGAGAGAGGUUAAGAAUAUGUUUGCUUUAAAUGUAGAAUAACUUCCAUUGGGACCUGAAACAAAAAUCAACGGUCAGACGGGUGCAGAGAGGUGGAGGUCUGGUUCGAUGUCAUGACCGCUGACCAGGAGCGUAAAACCAAGCUGACCCUGAAUCCACUUGCAUUAUUGUCCUGGACUUUGGAACCUCUGAGGUCAGCAGGAUGUCAUCUGGAGUUUACAGACUUUUCUGUCCCUUUCGAGGUCACUGAAGGCACCGUUGUGCUUAUGAGCAAAUACAUUGAGGCCUUUAUAGGUUUAUGAUGAAGCAUAGAGUUUCUCGCACAGGAGGUGUUUUCCUUUGUGUCCACAGGAGGGCAGAUCGAAUCACUUCACAGUGAGAUAGUGGGUAGUGGCUACCAGGCC